GUUGUAGUCUGGAGAAGUGUUUUCCGCGCUGGGCCGUGUAUAAGUCUCUUGGAACAGAGCGUCGUAGAGGGUGAGAAUCCCGUCUUUGACACGGACUACCAGUGCUUUGUGAUGCACUCUCAAAGAGUCGAGUUGUUUGGGAAUGCAGCUCAAAAUGGGUGGUAAAUUCCAUCUAAAGCUAAAUAUUGGCGAGAGACCGAUAGCGAACAAGUACCGUGAGGGAAAGAUGAAAAGCACUUUGGAAAGAGAGUUAAACAGUACGUGAAAUUGCUGAAAGGGAAACGCUUGAAGUCAGUCGUGUUGCUUGGAACUCAGCCUUGCUUUUGCUUGGUGCACUUUCCAAGUGACAGGCCAGCAUCGAUUUUGACCGUCGGAAAAAGUCUUGAAGAAUGUGGCACCUUCGGGUGUGUUAUAGCUUCGAGUUCACAUACGAUGGUUGGGAUCGAGGAACGCAGCGCGUGCCGUAAGGCAGGGGGUUUAUGCCCACUUUCGUGCUUAGGAUGCUGGCAUAAUGGCUUUAAACGACCCGUCUUGAAACACGGACCAAGGAGUCUAACAUACCUGCGAGUGUUUGGGUGGAAAACCCGAGCGCGUAAUGAAAGUGAAAGUUGAGACCUCUGUCAUGGAGGGCAUCAAUGCCCGGACCUGAUGUUUUCUGAUGGAUCCGCGGUAGAGCAUGUAUGUUGGGACCCGAAAGAUGGUGAACUAUGCCUGAAUAGGGUGAAGCCAGAGGAAACUCUGGUG
rnacentral:rRNA from 1 species